rnacentral:rRNA from 1 species
GAUGAACGCUGGCGGUAUGCUUAACACAUGCAAGUCGAACGGACUCUUCGGAGUUAGUGGCGGACGGGUGAGUAACGCGUGAGAAUCUGGCUUUGGGUUCGGGACAACCACUGGAAACGGUGGCUAAUACCGGAUGUGCCGAGAGGUAAAAGAGAAAUUGCCUGAAGAUGAGCUCGCGUCUGAUUAGCUAGUUGGUGAGGUAAAGGCUCACCAAGGCAGCGAUCAGUAGCUGGUCUGAGAGGAUGACCAGCCACACUGGGACUGAGACACGGCCCAGACUACUACGGGAGGAAGCAGUGGGGAAUGUUCCGCAAUGGGCGAAAGCCUGACGGGGCAAUACCGCGUGAGGGAAGAAGGCUCUUGGGUUGUAAACCUCUUUUCUUAGGGAAGAACAAAAUGACGGUACCUAAGGAAUCAGCAUCGGCUAACUCCGUG